CAGCCGCCGCGGUAAUACGAGGGGGGCAAGCGUUGUUCGGAAUUAUUGGGCGUAAAGGGUGCGUAGGCGGUUCAGCAAGUCUCGUGUGAAAUCUUCGGGCUCAACCCGAAGUCUGCACGGGAAACUACUGGGCUUGAGUAAUGGAGAGGUGAGUGGAAUUUCCGGUGUAGCGGUGAAAUGCGUAGAUAUCGGAAGGAACACCUGUGGCGAAAGCGGCUCACUGGACAUUUACUGACGCUGAUGCACGAAAGCUAGGGGAGCAAACAGGAUUAGAUACCCCCGUAGUCCCUGUCUCUUAUAC
rnacentral:rRNA from 1 species